AUGAAGGGGGUUCUCACAAGCAUUCUCAAGCAAGUAGGAGCUCAACCACCUGCUGACACCCAAGCAAUGACAGAGGAAGGUCUUAUCCACGCCAUAUCAAAUUUCCUAGAUGACAAAAGGUACCUAGUAAUAAUUGAUGACAUAUGGCAUCGUGAAGAAUGGGACAUCAUCACCAAGUCUUUCCCACAAAAUAAUCUCGCCAGUAGAAUUGUCAUCACAACUCAUAUAUGCAUCGUCAAGAUGCAGAGGCCGAUGGUUUAUCUUUCUCUUAAAAAACAAAAAACUCGUAUUGCUUCUCUACCAGGAUAUGAUUUGGAUAAUAGUAAGCUUUGCAUCAGAAUGAAUCCUAUAUGGGCUCCCGAAUUGAAAAGAUGGCUCUACGGAUCUAGUGUGGGAAAUUUCGUUGCUUGGAUGAAGCCUGACACAGUUGGACAAGGCUUUAACUGUGACCAUCCUAUUGUGAGCAUGUGUGGUGGUGUUCCGUUAGCACUACUUUGCAUGUUUUCAGCAAUGGUAAUGGUCCUCCGAGAGCAACAUGAACAACUAGGGGUACAUGUAAAGGCAAGUGAUGUGCAAGAUAUGAUUGAGAAGCAAGUUAAGCAAAAUGGAAUUCAGAACACUCCAGGGUUUCAACCGUUGGUACACAGUUUGCAGCUUGACUACACCAAUCUUCCUCACCAUAUGUUGAAGACAUGCUUGUUAUACUGCAGUGUAUACCCUGAGAAUUACCCUUUUCGCAAGAAUGAUUUGGUCAUGCGAUGGGUCGCUGAAGGAUUUACUUAUAAAGUGGAUGAAGCAGAAGAAUAUUUUGAAGAGCUUAGUGAGAGAGGUUUAUUGAUGCAGCAUAAUCAUGACAGUGCCUACCAAUUGAAUCCGAUGAUGCGAAAUUUCCUUAGACGGAAAUCACAUGAAGAUAAUUUCAUUACUUACAGUUCCGACAUCACAUGGGCAUAUCCCUAUCGAAUCCAUCGGCUAUGUAUUGACAAGCAUCCAGGUGAUGAUGGUGCACCGGAGGGGGUGGAUCCCUUCUCUGGAUUGGAUUGGCCUCAGAUUCGAUCUCUUGUUGUUUUUAAAGAUGCUGAGAGACUACCCAUUGAGAAAUUGGAACGUGUGCGAGUGUUGGAUCUUCAGUUUGAAAAGGGUCUUGGGAAUCAUCAUGUGAUGGAUAUCUGUGGACUGCUUCGUGUGAAGCACCUAUUCGGUGUAAAUGGAUUGGGAAUUAGUGAGCUACCACUAGAAAUAGCGAGGCUGCACUAUCUCGAGACUCUGGACGUAAGCGGUACGCGGAUUAGAGAGCUACCCCGUGAGAUUGGGAGAUUGAAGAAGUUGAAGAAUCUAUAUGUGAGUUUUAACCGGAGGAUCACGGAGUUGCCCAGAGAGAUGGGAGACCUGCAUCAUUUAGAGAUAUUGUGCAUGAGUGGAACAGAUAUCACAGAGCUGCCUAGGGAGAUCAUCGGGGGAUUGAAGAAGUUGAAGACUCUGGACCUGAGCUACAACAAAGGGCUGAGGGAGCUGCCGAGGGAGAUCGGGGACCUACAACAUUUAGAGACUCUGGACCUCAGCGGUAUCGAAAGGAUGACAAAUCUACCACGGGAGAUCGGUAAAUUGCAGCAUUUGAAAACGCUGAAGGCGCGUUGUACACGGAUCACAAAGCUGCCAAGUGAGAUUGGUAACCUCCAUAACUUAGAGACUCUUGACCUGAUGCGCAGCCACAUGCUCACAGAGCUGCCUCGUGAGAUCGGGAAUCUGCAGAAUCUGGAACGACUGCUCUUGAGUUCUACAGCGGUGGUAAAGCUACCAAGGGAAAUUGGGGGGCUUAAGAAGCUGGAGUUUUUGGAUUUAGAAGAUAUAUUCGGCCGUGCACGUGCACUACCCUGGGAAGCUAGUCAGCUUCCGAAAUUGGAGGGAGUGCCCAAGUGGGUCCGCCAAGCUUGGAAGAAUAGUGAUCUUGUGUCUUGUGCGUUAGCCAAGGAGAUCCUGUCCAUUGAAAUGCUUCGUUCGGAAGGUGAUGCGGGGGGCUAA
rnacentral:rRNA from 1 species